AUCUAAUAAUAUAUGAACAUGAAUCGUGUUCGAGUGAGUUAUGGGAUGGUAUUUUUCAUAUAUAUUGUAUGUUAGUUGUAUGUGAGCUUGUGUUAUUUCUGAAUGUACCGAGGUUUCCCACGUCUGCAAGCCUGAUGCAAUUCUACUGUCUAAUGUCAGAGGUACAUGUUUUUUGUGCACCGUUAGUAACGUGCGGUGUAAGCUAUGAGAUAUAUUCCUACUUUGCUUAUAUUAUUUUAAUUGAUAUAUAUUGAGUUGCUUAUAGUUUAAAUAGCAAUUAUGUUUCAGAUAAUUCUAUAUUGACUCAUUUUAUGUUACUUUUUAAUAUUUUAUUGGACAAGGAUUUGGAUUACAUCUUGCGAUUAACAUAUUUUUUAAUUUAUAAGAUAAAGAAUUGAAUUACUCUUAAAUUGUUACUAUUACGAAUUAUUCAUGGAUUUUUUGUUAUAUUUAAAUUAUAUAUAAAUUAUUUAGAAUUUAGGCAACACUGCACGGACUGUUAGAGAGAUUUUUAUAGACAAUAUUGUUUAUAUAUACAGUUUAAUGAAGAUAUAUAAAAUUUUUAAGCUAUACUUGUGACCAGCCCAACAUUGAGUGCAUGGAGUGAGUCACAAGAGGAAGCGAUUUAAAUAGCGUUAUCAAUAUAUAUAACAUAGUUUUCUUAACAUUCGUUUCAGAUGUAUUACAUACCACGAUACAAUGUUAUCACAUUACUUCCAUAUAAAGUUGUUUACAAUACAUUUUAUUAAUUAAAUUUUCCUUUUUUAUAUUACGUUUCUCGCCUAUUUUUUUAUGACUUGAAUGCCAAUAUUUAAUGUGUUCAUAAACUUAUAUACGCAGUUUCGUAUAUAGAUAUUCUUUAUUACUUAUAGUCGAGGAGGAAAUAAUAAAUAUAGGUAGAAAAAAAUUGCCCCACAGCCAAAUCCGAUCUCGGUGAUAAGAGCGUCUCUGUAGAGGGACAAAGGUCUAGGAUUGUGUGAUUGUUUGAACGUGGGAUUAGAGAGACGUGGUUCCGUAGGUUGCAAACGAUAAGACGGUCUACUUGAUAGAAGGUAGUCACUGUCGUCCAUGGACAUCUGCAACAUAAGAGAUGUUGCGGAUGCGUUGCUAGCCUUCGUUGCUGAGGAAGAAGAGAAGGGUGGGAAUAAGAAGAUGGCAGGAAAGGGUGGGAACAGGGAAAAGGCAAGCGGCUCUUUCGUUCAUCGGACGAAACGCAGCCAUUAAAUUAAGAAAAGAUGUUAGAUUGAAAAGAUUUAUUACCAAAAAGUUUUCAUAACACUUUAAAUAUUUAUAUUAUAGUAUAACCAUUUGUGAAUUAAAUCCUCCGUACAAUCAAUCCCUAUCAGCUUAUGAUAUAAAACUUCACAUCAAAAUAUCCUUUGUAGAAUCAGCGGAUGAACACCGCUGAACCGUAAUUGAGCUCAAAGGCUUAAUUUUCGAAUGGCCGUUAAAAAUUUUGCAAUACUCCCGGAUAUGGAUUGGUAUUGUUACAAAAAAAGUCCAAGUUUUUGAAGCUGGUAUAAAUUAAAUUACUUUAUAUUCAUUUUUAUACUUACACAGUUAAAACCAUACCUACGUACAUACUAGUAUAUGUUAGUUGUAUUAAAGUCUAUAAAAAUCUUGUUCACUAAAUAAUAUAAAUACUAUAUGCUUUUGGUUAUAAGUUUGUUAAACUUAAUCACCAAAAGUCGCCAUUUUCAAACGAAAACGAACUAUCGUCGUGAGGCUCAACGUCAUCAAUGGAUACGUAAUUAGUUAAAUCAAAUUUGUCAGCUAAAAAUGUAUCCGGAGGAUAGGUACGAGCUUUUUCAGUCGAGAAGAAAUCUGAUUUUGCGCUCUCUAAUUUAGUUGUAGUUUCAAUUGCAGCCGUUUUCUCGGUAGUGCUAGUUUUUUCAUUAUUUUUCCUCUCGGG